AUUUAAAGAGUGCGUAACAGCUCACUAGUCAAGUGACGCUGCGCCGAAAAUGUACCGGGGCUAAACAUAUUACCGAAACUGUGGAUUAAUACUUUGUAUUAAUGGUAGGAGAGCGUUCCAAUGGCGGAGAAGCAUGACCGUGAGGACAUGUGGAGCGAUUGGAAGUGAGAAUGCCGGUGUGAGUAGCGAAAGACGGGUGGGAAUCCCGUCCACCGAAUGACUAAGGUUUCCAGAGGAAGGCUCGUCCGCUCUGGGUUAGUCGGGACCUAAGCCGAGGCAGAGAUGCGUAGGCGAUGGCCAACAGGUCGAAAUUCCUGUACCGGUGAUGUCCGUUUGAGUGAUGUGGUGACGCAGUAGGAUAGAUGGAGCGUGCGACCGGAAGGGCACGUCCAAGCAGUGAGUGGUCAGGGCAGGCAAAUCCGCCCUGUAUAACCAUGAGCUGUGACGGGGAGCCGAAAUUUAGUAGGCGAAGCCAUUGAUUUCACACUGCCGAGAAAAGCCGCUGGCGAGGACGAUCACCGCCCGUACCGUAAACCGACACAGGUAGUUGGGAAGAGAAUUCUAAGGUGAGCGAGCGAACUCUCGUUAAGGAACUCGGCAAAAUGACCCCGUAACUUCGGGAGAAGGGGUGCUCAUAGAGAUAUGAG
rnacentral:rRNA from 1 species